AGCCUGCGGUUUAAUUGGACUCAACGCCGGGCAGCUCGCCGGAUAAGACAGCUGGAUGAUAGCCGGGCUGAAGACUCUGCUUGACUAGCUGAGAGGAGGUGCAUGGCCGUCGUCAGUUCGUACUGUGAAGCAUCCUGUUAAGUCAGGCAACGAGCGAGACCCACGCCAACAGUUGCCAGCAUGUCCUCCGGGAUGAUGGGGACACUGUUGGGACCGCCUCUGCUAAAGAGGAGGAAGGAAUGGGCAACGGUAGGUCAGCAUGCCCCGAAUUAUCCGGGCUACACGCGGGCUACAAUGGUCAGGACAAUGGGUAUCGACACCGAGAGGUGGAGGCAAUCUCCUAAACCUGUCCUUAGUUCGGAUUGUGGGCUGCAACUCGCCCACAUGAAGCUGGAAUCCGUAGUAAUCGCGUUUCAAAAUAGCGCGGUGAAUAUGUCCCUGCUCCUU
rnacentral:rRNA from 1 species